GAAUUUUCCGCAAUGGGCGAAAGCCUGACGCAGCAAUACCGCGUGAAGGAAGACGGCCUAUGGGUUGUAAACUUCUUUUCUCAGGGAGGAACUCAAUGACGUGUACCUGAGGAAUAAGCAUCGGCUAACUCCGUGCCAGCAGCCGCGGUAAGACGGAGGAUGCAAGUGUUAUCCGGAAUCACUGGGCGUAAAGCGUCUGUAGGUGGUUUAAUAAGUCAACUGUUAAAUCUUGAAGCUCAACUUCAAAAUCGCAGUCGAAACUAUUAGACUAGAGUAUAGUAGGGGUAAAGGGAAUUUCCAGUGGAGCGGUGAAAUGCGUAGAGAUUGGAAAGAACACCGAUGGCGAAGGCACUUUACUGGGCUAUUACUAACACUCAGAGACGAAAGCUAGGGUAGCAAAUGGGAUUAGAUACCCCAGUAGUC
rnacentral:rRNA from 1 species